CAAAGGUUUGGUCCUAGCCUUAGUAUUAAUUUUAAUUAUAAUUAUACAUGCAAGUUUCAGCACUCCAGUGAAAAUGCCCCUUACUCCUGCUUCGGAGACAAGGGAGCAGGUAUCAGGCCCCGAAAAGCCCAUGACACCUUGUUAAACCACACCUGCACAGGAAUUCAGCAGUAAUAAACAUUAAACAAUAAGCGAUAAGCUUGAUUUAGUAAUACAUAAUAGAGUUGGUAAAUCUCGUGCCAGCCACCGCGGUUAUACGAAAAACUCAAAUUAAUGAGUACGGCCCAAAGGGUAGUUAAGGCAUAAAUAAAAUAAGAUUAAAAAUUUACCAAGUUGUUAUACACAAACGUAAAUCCUAAAUUCAAAAACGAAAGUAAUCUUAUAUUACUUGAAGCUACUACGGUCAAGGGACAAACUGGGAUUAGAUACCCCACUAUGCUCGACUUUAAACUUUAAAAUUCGCCAGAGUACUACGAGCCACAGCUUAAAACUCAAAGGACUUGGCGGUGCCCUACACCCCCCUAGAGGAGCCUGUUCUAUAAUCGAUAACCCCCGAUAAACCUCACCAUCUCUAGCUAAUACAGCUUAUAUACCACCGUCCUCAGCUUACCCCCCAAAGGGAAAAAAGUGAGCAAGAUUAUUUAAAAUAAAAAAGUCAGGUCAAGGUGUAGCACAUGAGGUGGAAAGAAAUGGGCUACAUUUUCUACCACAGAAAAAACGAAAUGUUUUAUGAAAUAAGACAUGAAGGAGGAUUUAGAAGUAAAAAGGAAAAAGAGUGUCCUUUUUAAAUCGGCAAUAGAGCGCGCACACACCGCCCGUCACCCUCCUCAAAUAAAGCUAAAUGAACUAAAUAAAUAUUUAAUAUACAAGAAGAGAUAAGUCGUAACAUGGUAAGCUUACCGGAAGGUGAGCUUGGAUAU
rnacentral:ncRNA from 1 species